GACGUAGGGGGCGAGUGUUGUCCGGAUUUAUUGGGCGUAAAGCGCGCGCAGGCGGUUCGGUAAGUCGGGUGUGAAAACCCGGGGCUCAACCCCGGACCUGCAUCCGAUACUCCCGGACUGGAGGCAGGUAGGGGAGAGCGGAAUUCCCGGUGUAGCGGUGAAAUGCGCAGAUAUCGGGAAGAACACCGGUGGCGAAGGCGGCUCUCUGGACCUGUCCUGACGCUCAGGCGCGAAAGCUAGGGGAGCGAACAGG
rnacentral:rRNA from 1 species